CUCAUGAUCUGCUUGUUGUGAGGAGGUGCAGGAUGGUGAUGUUAUCUGAAUGUUGCUUGAAAAGCUGUAAAGGUCUGGUGAACAACUGUAGGGCAACCAGCUUCUGGGGGCUGCAGUUCUUCCUCCACAGGCUCAGCAGAAAGCCAGAGGUAGCUGAAGGCAGGUUCAGCUCCUGGUCCUGAGGUCGUUGGCUCUCUCCUGGGCUGGAUGAAGGUGAGCUGACUCAGAUAUUCCUCUGGAUUCUGGCCAUGUGCUGGGGAGGUGACUGCUUCAGUGUUCUCCCCACCCCAUGCUGAAGAGGAUGAAGUCAGUUCAAGUUCACCAUGAAACCUGUUCCUCUGUUUUCAUCAAGUACUUCUGAAGAGCGCAUGCAGUCCUUGUGAUGAGUACAGUGAAAUGGCA